ACCUUCUUGUUGAGCGUGUUCCACUUGGCGUUGAUGCUGUCCAGCUCGUCUUCCAGACCCUGACUGCUGGUUGAUGACCUCUGUCUCCACGGCGACCACCCCCUGGGCCUCUUCCGUCGCCACGGCGCGGCUCAGCUUCUCCCCGCUGCGCUGCAGCUUGGAGUGGAGCUCCUCCAGGUGUCGGCGCGCCUCCACGACCUGCUCCUCCCGGCCCUUCGCCCGGUCCAGCAGUUUGCCGCACUGCUUGCUGAGAGCGUCCACGUCUCUCUUCAGGCCGAAGAGCUCCGGCGACGACUCCGUCUCCAGCAUCUUCCUGCAGCUCUCCCCGGCGUUGACCGUGUUGGCCGUCACCUCCCGCAGCUUGGUGGUGAAGCCCUGGAUGCCCUCCUGCUGGUCCUUCAGAGCGGCCAGGUCCAGGGCGACGGGCUCCAUGCCGUCCAGCUCGUCGUCCAGGUCGGUGAACUCGCCGUACAUCUCCCGGAUGUCGUUCUGGAACUGACCGAUGCCCUGCAGCUUGCCCUCCAGCGUGGAGCAGGUCUCCUCCACCUUCUUGUUCAGGGAGCCGUAGUCCUUCUCCAGGCCGUCGGCCUGCAGCAGGAGGUCCGUCACGGUCGGCGUCGGGGACGUCGACCACCAGGUCCUUGGCCAGGUUCUUCAGCUGCUCCAGCUGGCUCUGCACCGCCUCCAGGCUCUUCUGCUGGGCCUUCAUGUUGGUCAGGGUCUUGGUGCUGUGGGCCUGCGCCCCCAGCGACUCGUAGGCCUCCACCUGCUUCUGGGCCCUCUCUAUCUGGCUCUUGGCCUCCUUCCGGGUGUCGUUGAACUCCUUCAGCGUCUGCGAGGUCUUCUCCAGCGACUCCCUCUUGCUCUGCAGCCCCUCCGCCAGCUUGUCCACCCUCUCGCCGAGGGCCGCCCGCUCCUCCUUGACCCCGUCGGUGUCGGCGUUGGCCGCCUCUAGCAGGCUGUCCGCCGCCGCGUUGAGCUGCUCCACCGCCCCGCGGUGCUUGUCUACGUCCUUCUGCAGGGCUUUGAGCUGCGAGAGGGAGCUCUCCAGGGCCACGGGGGUCCACGGCCGUCUGCACGCGGUCCCGGCUGGCCUCGCACUCCUCCGCCCAGGCGCUCAGCUUCUCCGCCUGGUCGCGGUACCUCACGGCGCGCUGCAGCGCGGUCGCCAGGGCCUCGCCGCGGUCGGCCGAGCCCUUCUUCACCGCCUCCCAGUUGGAGGAGAGGGUGGCGAGCUGGCCCUGCAGCGCCAGCUUCUCCGCGCCGUCCGUGUCCUGCAGCAGCGCCUCGCCCUCGCCGGCGAUGGUGGCGUAGGGCUGCUCGUGGUCGCUCAGGGCCCGCCGCAGGGCCUCGUGCUCCGUCAGGCUGCGCUGGAGGGGCUCCACCUGGGCCGAGACGGGCCUUGGGAGGCCUCCUCGCGGAGCCUCUCGUCCAGCCAGGUCUGGAACUCCUCCGAGGCGCGGUGGAACUGCUGGGAGCUGUCGAAGGUGGAGGCCAGCUGCUGGGCGCGCUUGGCU
ensembl:lncRNA